rnacentral:rRNA from 1 species
CCUACGGGAGGCAGCAGUGGGGAAUAUUGGGCAAUGGGCGCAAGCCUGACCCAGCAACGCCGCGUGAAGGAAGAAGGCUUUCGGGUUGUAAACUUCUUUUCUCAGGGACGAAGCAAGUGACGGUACCUGAGGAAUAAGACACGGCUAACUACGUGCCAGCAGCCGCGGUAAUACGGAGGGGGCAAGCGUUAUCCGGAUUUACUGGGUGUAAAGGGCGAGUAGGCGGGACUGUAAGUCAGAUGGGAAAACCAUGGGCUCAACCUAUGGCCUGCAUUUGAAACUGUAGUUCUUGAGUACUGGAGAGGCAGACGGAAUUCGUGGUGUAGCGGUGAAAUGCGUAGAUAUUAGGAGGAACACCGGUGGCGAAGGCGGUCUGCUGGACAGCGACUGACGCUGAGGCGCGAAGGCGUGGGGAGCAAACAGGAUUAGAUACCCCAGUAGUC